rnacentral:rRNA from 1 species
AAAGUUUGAUUUUUGCUUUGAGCUUUGUUUUAUAGUUAUUUGAUAUAUGCGAGUUUUGGUUUUAGUAUUUUGCUAGAAGUGAAGUAUAGAAGGUGCAAUAUUUAAUAUUAAUAAUAAGGGAAAUCUUGAUUUAGUAAAUUAUAGGAGGUUUGAUAAAAUCUUGUGCCAGCAUUCGCGGUUAUACUUGAAAAUCAAAUAAAGUGUAUUAGUUAGAGUUAUUAUGUUUAUUCAAAAAUAGGGGUUUAUGUUUAUAAAAAGUGAAAUUAAUUUAUAAAGUGUAAAGAUUUAUCAGUAAGAAAAAUAUGAAGCUUAAAAAUCUAGGAUAUGAAAUAGGAUUAGAUACCCUAGUACACUUAGAUUUAAUUUUGAAGUACUAGAAUAUUAAAAGUUAUGGCCUUUAAAUUUAAAAAAUUUGGCGGUGUUUUAGUCUAGUUAGAGGAACCUGUUUUAUAAACGAUACAACACGCAUUAUUUUACUUAUUUUAGUGGAGCAGUUUGUAUACCGUCAUUAUAAGAUAAUUUAGGAGAAAAUAUUAUUGGAAUCGUAUUUGUGAAUAUAUUAGAUCAAGGUGCAGCUUAUAGAUAAGUAAAUAUGGGUUACAAUAAAAUUAAUUUAAUAUGAAUUAAGUAUUUAAAUAUAUUUAUGAAGGAGGAUUUAAUUGUAAGGGAAGGAGUAGUGAGAUUUUCUGAUAAAAGCUCUAAAUUAUGUACAUAUCGCCCGUCGCUUUCAUUUAAUGUGAAAUAAGUCGUAACAUAGUAGGGGUAUUGGAAGAUGUUCCUAGAAUUA